rnacentral:rRNA from 1 species
GGUUGAUCCUGCCAGUAGUCAUAUGCUUGUGUUUAAGAUUAAGCCAUGCAUGCCUAAGUACAACUUAUUAAUAGCUAAACUGCGGACGGCUCCAUAGAUCAGUAAUUAUUCGUUAGGUGAUGGAAAUUACUUGGAUAACCCUGUUAAUUGUAGAGCUAAUACAUGCAUCGACAACCUGAUUAAUUAAUUUUAAAAGGGUUGCACUUGUCUAAAAUUAAAUAUUAUCUUUGGAAGUAAAUGAAUUCAAUGUAAUAGGUUAGGAUAUUAAAUGGGGUAAUAUAAACCCAACUGA